CCCUUAGAUGUUCUGGGCCGCACGCGCGCUACACUGAUGCAUUCAACGAGUCUAAAACCUGGUCUGAUAGGGCUGGGUAAUCUUUUGAAUGUGCAUCGUGAUUGGGAUAGAUGAUUGCAAUUCUUCAUCUUCAACGAGGAAUGCCUAGUAAACGCAAGUCAUCAGCUUGCAUUGAUUACGUCCCUGCCCUUUGUACACACCGCCCGUCGCUCCUACCGAUUGAGUGGUCCGGUGAGGCUUUGGGAUCUGAGCAAAGAGAGCGUUUCGCUCGUUUUGCCCGGAAAACUCAGUCGAACCUUAUCAUUUAGAGGAAGGAGAAGUCGUAACA
rnacentral:rRNA from 1 species